rnacentral:misc_RNA from 1 species
AUUAAAAACGAGAAUAGUAACUUUAAUAAUAUUCUCAAUUGUUUUUACAAACGUACACGGUCGGUUAUAACUGCUGUUUUGAAAGUCUGAGUCAUAUUCCUCUGUUUCCUAAUUAUCAUUUUCCGCAUUUCAAAACGUAUCUUUUAGUUUUGUAUAUAUACUUAGUUAUGUUGCUUGAAGAAAUUUUGUCUUUCCUUAUCAAAUUUGUGGUUAUUUCCGCAUUCACCAUUGCGUUUCUUCUGAUUUUGCCAACGUUGAGUGCUAUUGUCUUGGACAUUGUGGUAUGCGGAUACCUUGCUUUGUACCGACUUUAUGAAAUUGGAGGCGGUUGCAUCCAAAAGCCUUCAAAAGCCGUUCACCCAAAGUCCUCUUAAUUCCGUUACAGUCUUAGCUGGCUUUCGAGUUUUGAUUCUUUUUUUAAUAGAUUGUCCUUCUGUUUUUUGUUUUUAAAACAUAUAAGUUGUUUUCUCCUCUUAAUAUCCUCAGAACGUUUCUUUGCUUUGAUAUAUUUGGCCGUCCAGUUUAUUUUUUUUCCUUUUUCUGCCGCCAAUUAAAAAAUUUAUAAAAGAAUGCUUAAGUAAAGCUGACCAUCCAACUGGUUAUUAUUUUUCACUUGCUUGUAUACUCUUGCUAAUAUGUUUUGUGCUUUUUUCCCUAUCCUUUCUCCCUUAUUAAUUUUAUAAAUACGCAACAAAAAAAUGGUUCUCCAAAAUACAUAAUUUAAUAUUUCACAUUCAUACUGAUUGUGAAUUCAAUAAUCAGAAAUAAAUAAUUCGUUAAAAUAAAACAAAAAAGAAGAAAACUACUGCUGUUUUUGGUGAUUUCGUGUUCCUUUUUUCCUACAGUACUAUUACAUUUCUCUGUUUUCGCUAAGAAGCUUUUGUUUAUGAGUCGUUAUCAUUACGUUUUCAUUUCAUUAGUUUCUACCUCAAUUAUUAGAAAAAUGUUCAGACAUCCAUCUCUCCCCCAACUUUAUUGCAUAGUCUCGCUCAAGAAAUUUCCGCCGUUCUUCAAGUUUUUUGUCUCGUAAGGUUAACACAUCUUCUGUGUUUUUUCUCUGCUGUUGUGUAACCUUAGCAUGAAUCUCCUUUAAAGAUAGAAGUUGCUCUUCUCUUUCUUUUUCGUCAAAAGAAAACUGGUAAAAUGCCGUACCUUUAUUCCUUACUUCCUUAGUCGAGUCAUAAUGAACUGCUUGCUGCUCAUCUUCCUUCCACAAUUUUUGAACCUUUUCUUCGUCUACUUCGAAGGAUGGCAUAUAGUCACCGUAUAUUGGCUUUUCGGGCUUGUACUCCUCCUUUUGUGAAAGUAGGGUAUUACCGGUCUCGUAAAUAGAGACACUCCUGGUUCGCCCAAAUUCAUCCGUUAUUUCAACUGUUUCAUUUUCGGGUGCUUCCUCAGCCCAUUUGCGUGUGAAGUCGACAAGGAUUCCAUCAUCUUCUGUCUCCUUUAUUUCCAGUUCUCCGGCAGCAUACUGGUCGUAUUUUUUAGCUUUUCGUUCCAGUUCCAGACGACUUC